AAGAUCUGACGUUUGUUAAAAUAUAUAUAUUCUUUAAAUCUGUGUGUUUGGUUAUGUUUCCUUUGUUAAAUAUGCAUUUUAAAUGUAUCAUUCAACUUCCGUAUAUGUUUGUAUAAUUGGAAAGUUAAAAGAAAAAAAAUGAUGCCCCGUAACGUUGGUGGUAGGAACCUUGAGCUACGUACCUUGGUAAUCAGGGGACUGAUAACAACGACGGACCAGGAAGCGACGUUUUCGAAAUAGCAAGAAAUGCAAAAAGGUUUAUAAACGUUUAAAUGCAGUGAGAACUCUAGAAUUGUGUUCAACCAAUAUUUAUCAGAUAAGGCAAGAAAGAGGGACCUUCCGUCUGCGCUAACAUUGCUAGUAAGUUAGAGGUCUAACGUUAGUCAUUGUGCUACCAGCCAUGUGGGGGGAGAUCGACCCUGCUCCCGAUCCCAGUCCGCCUGUCAGCGUUGAACCGGUGGCCUUCAGACAGCCCGAACCCCGGCGACCACAGCCCGAACCCCGGCGACCACAGCCCGAACCCCGGCGACCACCGCCCGAACCCAGGGGAACCGGACCAGCUUCUAGCUGCUCUGCAACCGCCCACACCGAGGAGGACGAGCCGCAGGACGAGUCGCAGGACAACCAGGCGGAUCCCAGCGGUGUGUGUGCCAUGGUGGAGGUGGUGGCUGUGAGUAGUGUCCAGGUGAAGAGCCAGCAGGUAGGUGAGGCAGAGCUGACCUUAGCCCAGCGGAGAGAGGAGCUGCUGGGACAGUACCGGACCAAGCCCUUGGUGUUUCUGGAGCGAUACCAGGCCCACCUGAAGCCUCAGCACCUGUCAGCGUUCUGCCAUCUGACCUCUGACCCCCGGGCGCAGUACUACUGCCGGGAGGUGAGGCGGAGAGCGGCGGGACGCGCCAACAGGACCCGGGUACGCAACCAACGCUACGCUGCCCUCAGGGAGCUGCAGAGGGAGGGCCAGUACUUCAGCGAGGACCAGAUGAGAACCCGGGAGCCCUUACUGUAUGAGCAAUACAUCGGCCAAUACCUGACUGAGGAGGAGCUGCUACAUCGCUCCCUGGAGGCCAUGCAGGGAGGAGCAGCGGAGGAGCGGGGGCCGGGGGGAGCAGAGGGGGGACUGGCCGACCUCCUCCUCAGCUCCUACCAGGAGAGACUGAUCCAGAGCCGGCUGCAGGAGGAGCAGGACAGGGAGGAGAACGCACUGGAGGAGGAGGAGGAAGAGGGGGAGGAGGGUAAGACACACACAGCAUCACCAGACGUGGGUUCAACAAGGGAAAUAGUUUGCCAAGUAGUCUGCAGCGAAGGUGAUUCUCUACAGUUGACUAACAGUUUGAGGAGGUAGUCUGCAGCGAAGGUAAGUGAUUCUCUACAGUUGACUAACAGUUUGAGGAGGUAGUCUGCAGCGAAGGUAAGUGAUUCACCACAGUUGGCUAACAGUUUGAGGAGGUAGUCUGCAGCGAAGGUGAUUCUCUACAGUUGACUAACAGUUUGAGGAGGUAGUCUGCAGCGAAGGUAAGUGAUUCACUACAGUUGACUAACAGUUUGAGGAGGUAGUCUGCAGCGAAGGUGAUUCACUACAGUUGACUAACAGUUUGAGGAGGUAGUCUGCAGCGAAGGUAAGUGAUUCUCUACAGUUGACUAACAGUUUGAGGAGGUAGUCUGCAGCGAAGGUAAGUGAUUCUCUACAGUUGACUAACAGUUUGAGGAGGUAGUCUGCAGCGAAGGUAAGUGAUUCACUACAGUUGACUAACAGUUUGAGGAGGUAGUCUGCAGCGAAGGUGAUUCACUACAGUUGACUAACAGUUUGAGGAGGUAGUCUGCAGCGAAGGUAAGUGAUUCUCUACAGUUGACUAACAGUUUGAGGAGGUAGUCUGCAGCGAAGGUGAUUCACUACAGUUGACUAACAGUUUGAGAAGGUAGUCUGCAGCGAAGGUGAUUCACUACAGUUGACUAACAGUUUGAGAAGGUAGUCUGCAGCGAAGGUAAGUGAUUCACUACAGUUGACUAACAGUUUGAGGAGGUAGUCUGCAGCGAAGGUGAUUCUCUACAGUUGACUAACAGUUUGAGAAGGUAGUCUGCAGCGAAGGUAAGUGAUUCUCUACAGUUGACUAACAGUUUGAGAAGGUAGUCUGCAGCGAAGGUAAGUGAUUCUCUACAGUUGACUAACAGUUUGAGGAGGUAGUCUGCAGCGAAGGUAAGUGAUUCUCUACAGUUGACUAACAGUUUGAGGAGGUAGUCUGCAGCGAAGGUAAGUGAUUCACUACAGUUGACUAACAGUUUGAGGAGGUAGUCUGCAGCGAAGGUGAUUCUCUACAGUUGACUAACAGUUUGAGGAGGUAGUCUGUAGCGAAGGUAAGUGAUUCACUACAGUUGACUAACAGUUUGAGGAGGUAGUCUGCAGCGAAGGUGAUUCACUACAGUUGACUAACAGUUUGAGAAGGUAGUCUGCAGCGAAGGUGAUUCACUACAGUUGACUAACAGUUUGAGAAGGUAGUCUGCAGCGAAGGUGAUUCACUACAGUUGACUAACAGUUUGAGGAGGUAGUCUGCAGCGAAGGUAAGUGAUUCACUACAGUUGGCUAACAGUUUGAGAAGGUAGUCUGCAGCGAAGGUGAUUCACUACAGUUGACUAACAGUUUGAGAAGGUAGUCUGCAGCGAAGGUAAGUGAUUCACUACAGUUGACUAACAGUUUGAGAAGGUAGUCUGCAGCGAAGGUAAGUGAUUCUCUACAGUUGACUAACAGUUUGAGAAGGUAGUCUGCAGCGAAGGUGAUUCUCUACAGUUGACUAACAGUUUGAGAAGGUAGUCUGCAGCGAAGGUAAGUGAUUCACUACAGUUGACUAACAGUUUGAGGAGGUAGUCUGCAGCGAAGGUAAGUGAUUCUCUACAGUUGACUAACAGUUUGAGGAGGUAGUCUGCAGCGAAGGUGAUUCUCUACAGUUGACUAACAGUUUGAGGAGGUAGUCUGUAGCGAAGGUAAGUGAUUCACUACAGUUGACUAACAGUUUGAGGAGGUAGUCUGUAGCGAAGGUGAUUCACUACAGUUGACUAACAGUUUGAGGAGGUAGUCUGUAGCGAAGGUGAUUCACUACAGUUGAUUAACAGUUUGAGGAGGUAGUCUGUAGCGAAGGUAAGUGAUUCACUACAGUUGACUAACAGUUUGAGGAGGUAGUCUGCAGCGAAGGUGAUUCACUACAGUUGACUAACAGUUUGAGAAGGUAGUCUGCAGCGAAGGUAAGUGAUUCACUACAGUUGACUAACAGUUUGAGAAGGUAGUCUGCAGCGAAGGUAAGUGAUUCACUACAGUUGACUAACAGUUUGAGGAGGUAGUCUGCAGCGAAGGUGAUUCACUACAGUUGACUAACAGUUUGAGGAGGUAGUCUGCAGCGAAUGUAAGUGAUUCACUACAGUUGACUAACAGUUUGAGGAGGUAGUCUGCAGCGAAUGUGAUUCUCUACAGUUGACUAACAGUUUGAGAAGGUAGUCUGCAGCGAAGGUAAGUGAUUCUCUACAGUUGACUAACAGUUUGAGAAGGUAGUCUGCAGCGAAGGUGAUUCACUACAGUUGACUAACAGUUUGAGGAGGUAGUCUGCAGCGAAUGUGAUUCUCUACAGUUGACUAACAGUUUGAGAAGGUAGUCUGCAGCGAAGGUAAGUGAUUCUCUACAGUUGACUAACAGUUUGAGAAGGUAGUCUGCAGCGAAGGUGAUUCACUACAGUUGACUAACAGUUUGAGAAGGUAGUCUGCAGCGAAUGUAAGUGAUUCACUACAGUUGACUAACAGUUUGAGAAGGUAGUCUGCAGCGAAGGUGAUUCACUACAGUUGACUAACAGUUUGAGGAGGUAGUCUGCAGCGAAGGUAAGUGAUUCUCUACAGUUGACUAACAGUUUGAGGAGGUAGUCUGCAGCGAAGGUGAUUCACUACAGUUGGCUAACAGUUUGAGAAGGUAGUCUGCAGCGAAGGUAAGUGAUUCUCUACAGUUGGCUAACAGUUUGAGAAGGUAGUCUGCAGCGAAGGUGAUUCACUACAGUUGACUAACAGUUUGAGGAGGUAGUCUGUAGCGAAGGUAAGUGAUUCUCUACAGUUGACUAACAGUUUGAGGAGGUAGUCUGCAGCGAAGGUAAGUGAUUCACUACAGUUGACUAACAGUUUGAGGAGGUAGUCUGUAGCGAAGGUAAGUGAUUCACUACAGUUGACUAACAGUUUGAGGAGGUAGUCUGCAGCGAAGGUGAUUCUCUACAGUUGACUAACAGUUUGAGGAGGUAGUCUGCAGCGAAGGUAAGUGAUUCUCUACAGUUGGCUAACAGUUUGAGAAGGUAGUCUGCAGCGAAGGUAAGUGAUUCACUACAGUUGGCUAACAGUUUGAGGAGGUAGUCUGCAGCGAAGGUAAGUGAUUCUCUACAGUUGACUAACAGUUUGAGAAGGUAGUCUGCAGCGAAGGUAAGUGAUUCUCUACAGUUGACUAACAGUUUGAGAAGGUAGUCUGCAGCGAAGGUAAGUGAUUCUCUACAGUUGACUAACAGUUUGAGGAGGUAGUCUGCAGCGAAGGUAAGUGAUUCUCUACAGUUGACUAACAGUUUGAGGAGGUAGUCUGCAGCGAAGGUAAGUGAUUCUCUACAGUUGACUAACAGUUUGAGGAGGUAGUCUGCAGCGAAGGUGAUUCUCUACAGUUGACUAACAGUUUGAGGAGGUAGUCUGCAGCGAAGGUAAGUGAUUCUCUACAGUUGACUAACAGUUUGAGGAGGUAGUCUGCAGCGAAGGUAAGUGAUUCUCUACAGUUGACUAACAGUUUGAGGAGGUAGUCUGCAGCGAAGGUAAGUGAUUCUCUACAGUUGACUAACAGUUUGAGGAGGUAGUCUGCAGCGAAGGUAAGUGAUUCUCUACAGUUGACUAACAGUUUGAGGAGGUAGUCUGCAGCGAAGGUAAGUGAUUCACUACAGUUGACUAACAGUUUGAGAAGGUAGUCUGCAGCGAAGGUGAUUCACUACAGUUGGCUAAGAGUGUGUGUGUCUCUAUGUGUCUCACGGUACUGUGUGUGUGUGUGUGUGUCUCACGGUACUGUGUGUGUGUCUCACGGUACUGUGUGUGUGUCUCACGGUACUGUGUGUGUCUCUGUGUGUCUCACGGUACUGUGUGUGUGUCUCACGGUACUGUGUGUGUCUCUGUGUGUCUCACGGUACUGUGUGUGUCUCUGUGUGUCUCACGGUACUGUUUGUGUGUCUCACGGUACUGUGUGUGUGUCUCACGGUACUGUGUGUGUGUAUGUCUCACGGUACUGUGUGUGUGUGUGUCUCACGGUACUGUGUGUGUGACUCACGGUACUGUGUGUGUCUCUGUGUGUCUCACGGUACUGUGUGUGUGUCUCACGGUACUGUGUGUGUGUCUCACGGUACUGUGUGUGUGUCUCACGGUACUGUGUGUGUGUCUCACGGUACUGUGUGUGUGUCUCACGGUACUGUGUGUGUGUGUGUGUGUCUCACGGUACUGUGUGUGUGUCUCACGGUACUGUGUGUGUGUCUCACGGUACUGUGUGUGUCUCUGUGUGUCUCACGGUACUGUGUGUGUGUCUCACGGUACUGUGUGUGUCUCUGUGUGUCUCACGGUACUGUGUGUGUCUCUGUGUGUCUCACGGUACUGUUUGUGUGUCUCACGGUACUGUGUGUGUGUCUCACGGUACUGUGUGUGUGUAUGUCUCACGGUACUGUGUGUGUGUGUGUCUCACGGUACUGUGUGUGUGACUCACGGUACUGUGUGUGUCUCUGUGUGUCUCACGGUA